UAACCACACUCCAGGGCACCGCCCACCCACGUGUUUCACAGGUGAGCUCCUUCCCACCAGCGCUUCCCCGGACCGGGAAAAACCCAGUACCGCGUCUCGCGCGCUGGCGGAGUCACAGGUAAAGCGAGAUCUAUAUCUAAGGACUGUAUCAUCCUGGGCUGCACUGGCUUCCUCACUUCCAGUUGAGUUUGUCCAAUUAAAGUCACAGGAAAGAGACUGGAAGAUGGGAUGAAAGAGAAGUCCAGCUGCUCCAGGAAGCCAGCAUUUGGACAUAUGGAAGGCCUUGCAUUUUUCACCAAAGAAAAAGCACUGGUAA